rnacentral:rRNA from 1 species
GACGAACGCUGGCGGCGUGCUUAACACAUGCAAGUCGAACGGAAAGGCCUGCUUUCCCUUGUGGAUUGCGGGUACUCGAGUGGCGAACGGGUGAGUAACACGUGAGUGAUCUGCCCCCAACUUGGGUAUAAGCCUGGGAAACUGGGUCUAAUUCCCGAUAGGACUGCAGGGUGGUGCCUGUGGUGGAAAACGAUUUUCUAGUGGUUGGGGAUGAGCUCGCGGCCUAUCAGCUUGUUGGUGGGGUAAUGGCCUACCAGGGCGGCGACGGGUAGCCGGCCUGAGAGGGUGGACGGCCACAUUGGGACUGAGAUACGGCCCAGACGCCUACGGGAGGCAGCAGUGGGGAAUAUUGCACAAUGGGCGGAAGCCUGAUGCAGCGACGCCGCGUGGGGGAUGACGGCCUUCGGGUUGUAAACUCCUUUCGACCGCGAGGAAGCCACCUGGUUGGAAGGGUGGUGACGGUAGUGGUAGAAGAAGCACCGGCUAACUACGUG